UACGGAGGGUGCAAGCGUUAAUCGGAAUUACUGGGCGUAAAGCGCACGCAGGCGGUUAAUUAAGUCGGAUGUGAAAGCCCCGGGCUUAACCUGGGAAUUGCAUUUGAAACUGGGUGACUAGAAUGUGGUAGAGGGUGGCGGAAUUUCUGGUGUAGCGGUGAAAUGCGUAGAGAUCAGAAGGAACAUCAAUGGCGAAGGCAGCUUCCUGGACAAACAUUGACGCUGAGGCGCGAAAGCGUGGGGAGCAAACAGG
rnacentral:rRNA from 1 species